rnacentral:rRNA from 1 species
AGUCGAACGGCAGCGCGGGGCAACCUGGCGGCGAGUGGCGAACGGGUGAGUAAUAUAUCGGAACGUACCCAAGAGUGGGGGAUAACGUAGCGAAAGUUACGCUAAUACCGCAUACGAUCUAUGGAUGAAAGUGGGGGAUUCGCAAGAACCUCAUGCUCCUGGAGCGGCCGAUAUCUGAUUAGCUAGUUGGUGAGGUAAAGGCUCACCAAGGCGACGAUCAGUAGCUGGUCUGAGAGGACGACCAGCCACACUGGAACUGAGACACGGUCCAGACUCCUACGGGAGGCAGCAGUGGGGAAUUUUGGACAAUGGGCGCAAGCCUGAUCCAGCAAUGCCGCGUGAGUGAAGAAGGCCUUCGGGUUGUAAAGCUCUUUUGUCAGGGAAGAAACGGUCGGAGCUAAUAUCUCUGACUAAUGACGGUACCUGAAGAAUAAGCACCGGCUAACUACGUGCCAGCAGCCGCGGUAAUACGUAGGGUGCAAGCGUUAAUCGGAAUUACUGGGCGUAAAGCGUGCGCAGGCGGUUUUGUAAGUCUGUCGUGAAAUCCCCGGGCUCAACCUGGGAAUUGCGAUGGAGACUGCAAGGCUAGAAUCUGGCAGAGGGGGGUAGAAUUCCACGUGUAGCANUGAAAUGCGUAGAGAUGUGGAGGAACACCGAUGGCGAAGGCAGCCCCCUGGGUCAAGAUUGACGCUCAUGCACGAAAGCGUGGGGAGCAAACAGGAUUAGAUACCCUGGUAGUCCACGCCCUAAACGAUGUCUACUAGUUGUCGGGUCUUAAUUGACUUGGUAACGCAGCUAACGCGUGAAGUAGACCGCCUGGGGAGUACGGUCGCAAGAUUAAAACUCAAAGGAAUUGAC